rnacentral:rRNA from 1 species
CUCCUACGGAGGCAGCAGUGGGGAAUCGUUGCACAAUGGGGGAAAACCCUGGAUGCAGCGACGCCGCGUGAGCGAUGAAGCCCUUACGGGGGUCGUUAAAGGCUACUUUCGACGGGUAACGAGUAAUGAACGGUACCCGAAGAACGAAGCUGCGGCUAACUACGUGCCAGCAGCCGCGGUAAUAC